rnacentral:lncRNA from 1 species
UAUUUAGCUUUGUAAAUUUUGAAUAAUUUUUAAUUUAAUUUUUUAAGUCCCUCUAGCUGAGGAUAGAGAUUAAUUGAAAUGAAAACUUUUUUAAAUGUUUAAAACUUGACACAACUGAUUAAGUAUAAAAGAAAUCUAAGUUCUAUGUCUGAGUUGAUGCAAGGCAAAAACAUUAUGUGGGAAAGUUGAAGUUGCAGAGAGAGGGCAUCAUGAGAGUAAAAAUCCCUGGGAAUUGACCAAAAUCCCAGGGACAACUCCAGAUUUUUAGAAGCUAUGAAAUUGAUAGAGUUCAAGCAGAAAUCUCAAAGGAACCGGGUAUUAUUUGAGUUCCAGGUGGAGUGAAUAGAAAAUUCACUACGGCCUAUCUCUAACAGGGUGAGAGGGUGCUAUUGCAUGGCUCGGAGAAAGGUGGAGGGAUCUGAAGGGCUGGAUGCUUGGGGAGGGACUGUGGUCCAGCUUCCUCUCUUAUUGCCCCGUCUCCGCCCUCAAGAGCCCUUUGUGACCAGAGCACAGCCCUGUGAUGUGGGCCUGGGGCUCUAGUCCCCAAGCCACUCCCAGUGCUCAGUUGCCUGAUGGCAGCAGUGUGAUUCAGACAAUGCAGAAUCCCCUCUUUUCUCUGAAAAGCAUUAUUGAUACCUGGCUGAGCUCCAGUUCCACUUCCUGGGUGAUUGAUACCAUCCUCGUCAUCCUGUGUGGACUGGGGUUUUUCGUGUUACUUGCCUACCUGCAGAGUGAUCCAUCCUUACCACCAGCGAGGAAACAUGGAAGCAUCAGGAAGCGUCAAGUGGAGCCGAGGGGGAGGAGCAGCAGGACUAGGAAGAAAAGUGGGGCUUUGAGAGGUAAGCGUCUGCCACUCAGCCCUGCGCCCCGAGAGCCAGCCUCCAUCUCUCCUGUCCCUGAGGGCCUAGCUCCAUGGUCUCCGAGGAAGACGGUGGUAGGAGUUUCCCGUUUCUCUCAGGAAACAGAGCCCUCGAGGAGGCUCCUGGGAAGGAGAUCAGAACCCAGAUACUUCCCAGAUUCUGUGCUAGGAAUGAAGCCACGAGGGGUCUAG